rnacentral:lncRNA from 1 species
CAUUAUUUGGGGAUACCCUGUUGAUACUGUACCUCAGGAUCCUGUCUUCUUUAUGAAACUUGAUGACCUGGUUUGCCAUCAGCUUGGGUCUAGCAAUGUCUCAGACUGGUCUGACCACUUCCGAUCUCUAAAGGGUUUGGCACACUCGAUUCAGCUUUUGGCGGAAGUCCUGGAUGGACGUGCAGAAAUGUCCUUGAUAGAUUUAAAGGGUGGAAGGAUUUGA